AGCGGCUUAGGAUAGCAGACAAACCAAGGGCCUUCAAAGCCCUAAUCGGGAGUUAAAACCUCCCAGCCCCUG
rnacentral:tRNA from 1 species